UAGGGAAUCUUCGGCAAUGGACGAAAGUCUGACCGAGCAACGCCGCGUGAGUGAAGAAGGUUUUCGGAUCGUAAAACUCUGUUGUUAGAGAAGGACGUUGCAUAGAGUGGAAAAUUAUGCAAGUGACGGUAUCUAACCAGAAAGGGACGGCUAACUACGUGCCAGCAGCCGCGGUAAUACGUAGGUCCCGAGCGUUGUCCGGAUUUAUUGGGCGUAAAGCGAGCGCAGGUGGUUUAAUAAGUCUGAUGUAAAAGGCAGUGGCUCAACCAUUGUGUGCAUUGGAAACUGUUAGACUUGAGUGCAGUAGAGGAGAGUGGAAUUCCAUGUGUAGCGGUGAAAUGCGUAGAUAUAUGGAGGAACACCGGUGGCGAAAGCGGCUCUCUGGACUGUCACUGACACUGAGGCUCGAAAGCGUGGGUAGCAAACAGGAUUAGAUACCCUGGUAGUCCACGC
rnacentral:rRNA from 1 species